rfam:Schistosoma margrebowiei strain Zambia genome assembly, scaffold: SMRZ_contig0006518
AUUCAGCUGACGAGUUCUGAAUAGAACGAAACGUGUCCUAGAU